rnacentral:rRNA from 1 species
UUAAAUUGAAGAGUUUGAUCAUGGCUCAGAUUGAACGCUGGCGGCAGGCUUAACACAUGCAAGUCGAACGGUAGCAGGAAGAAGCUUGCUUCUUUGCUGACGAGUGGCGGACGGGUGAGUAAUGCUUGGGAAUCUGGCUUAUGGAGGGGGAUAACUACGGGAAACUGUAGCUAAUACCGCGUAAUAUCUUCGGAUUAAAGAGUGGGACCUUCGGGCCACUUGCCAUAAGAUGAGCCCAAGUGGGAUUAGGUAGUUGGUGGGGUAAAGGCCUACCAAGCCGACGAUCUCUAGCUGGUCUGAGAGGAUGACCAGCCACACUGGAACUGAGACACGGUCCAGACUCCUACGGGAGGCAGCAGUGGGGAAUAUUGCACAAUGGGGGAAACCCUGAUGCAGCCAUGCCGCGUGAAUGAAGAAGGCCUUCGGGUUGUAAAGUUCUUUCGGUGAUGAGGAAGGCGUUGUAUUUAAUAGAUGCAACGAUUGACGUUAG